UGCCAGCAGCCGCGGUAAUACAGAGGGUGCAAGCGUUAAUCGGAUUUACUGGGCGUAAAGCGCGCGUAGGUGGCCAAUUAAGUCAAAUGUGAAAUCCCCGAGCUUAACUUGGGAAUUGCAUUCGAUACUGGUUGGCUAGAGUAUGGGAGAGGAUGGUAGAAUUCCAGGUGUAGCGGUGAAAUGCGUAGAGAUCUGGAGGAAUACCGAUGGCGAAGGCAGCCAUCUGGCCUAAUACUGACACUGAGGUGCGAAAGCAUGGGGAGCAAACAGGAUUAGAUACCCUGGUAGUCCAUGCCGUAAACGAUGUCUACUAGCCGUUGGGGCCUUUGAGGCUUUAGUGGCGCAGCUAACGCGAUAAGUAGACCGCCUGGGGAGUACGGUCGCAAGACUAAAACUCAAAUGAAUUGACGGGGGCCCGCACAAGCGGUGGAGCAUGUGGUUUAAUUCGAUGCAACGCGCAGAACCUUACC
rnacentral:rRNA from 1 species